AUUGAACGCUGGCGGCGUGCUUAACACAUGCAAGUCGAUCGGUAACAGGUGUAGCAAUACAUGCUGACGAGAGGCGGACGGGUGAGGAACGCUUGGGAAUCUGCCUAUCAGCGGGGGAUAACCCGGGGAAACCCGGGCUAAUACCGCAUACGCUCUACGGAGGAAAGCCGGGGACCGCAAGGCCUGGCACUGAUAGAUGAGCCCAAGUCGGAUUAGCUAGUUGGCGGGGUAACGGCCCACCAAGGCGACGAUCCGUAGCUGGUCUGAGAGGUGAAUCAGCCACACCGGAACUGAGACACGGUCCGGACUCCUACGGGAGGCAGCAGUGGGGAAUAUUGGACAAUGGGCGAAAGCCUGAUCCAGCGACGCCGCGUGGGUGAAGAAGGCCUGCGGGUUGUAAAGCCCUUUCGGUAGGGACGAAAGCUCUUGCCCUAACAAGGCAGGAGGUUGACUUAACCUACAUAAGAAGCACCGGCUAACUCUGUGCCAGCAGCCGCGGUAACAC
rnacentral:rRNA from 1 species